UACGUAGGGGGCAAGCGUUGUCCGGAAUCAUUGGGCGUAAAGCGCGUGUAGGCGGCCCGGUAAGUCCGCUGUGAAAGUCGGGGGCUCAACCCUCGGAUGCCGGUGGAUACUGUCGGGCUAGAGUGCGGGAGAGGCGAGUGGAAUUCCUGGUGUAGCGGUGAAAUGCGUAGAGAUCUGGAAGAACACCAAAGGCGAAGGCAGCAUCCUGGGAAGUUCCUGACGCUCGGGUGCGAAAGCCAGGGGAGCGAACGGG
rnacentral:rRNA from 1 species